UUCGUUGUCUGUUCGACC
rnacentral:siRNA from 1 species